CCUACGAGUGGCAGCAGUGGGGGAUAUUGCACAAUGGGGGGAACCCUGAUGCCGCGACGCCGCGUGGGUGAAGAAGCGCCUCGGCGCGUAAAGCCCUGUCAGCAGGGAAGAAAAUGACGGGAACUGAAGAAGAAGCCCCGGCUAACUACGUGCCAGCAGCCGCGGUAAUAAGAAGGGGGCAAGCGUUAUCCGGAUUUACUGGGUGGAAAGGGGGCGCAGACGGAGAUGCAAGCCAGUAGUGAAAGCCCUGGGCUCAACCCCGGGACUGCUCUUGGAACAGCGUGGCGGGAGUGCAGGAGGGGACGGCGGAAUUACUGGUGUAGCGGGGAAAUGCGGAGAUAUCAGGAGGAACACCGGUGGCGAAGGCGGCCUGCUGGACUGCAACUGACGUUGAGGCCCGAAAGCGUGGGGAGCAAACAGGAUUAGAUACCCGGGUAGUC
rnacentral:rRNA from 1 species